rnacentral:rRNA from 1 species
AUUGAACGCUGGCGGCAUGCUUUACACAUGCAAGUCGAACGGUAACAGGCCUUCGGGUGCUGACGAGUGGCGAACGGGUGAGUAAUGCAUCGGAACGUGCCCAGAGGUGGGGGAUAACGCAGCGAAAGCUGUGCUAAUACCGCAUGUGAUCUGAGGAUGAAAGCGGGGGACCAGGCAGCAAUGUUUGGCCUCGCGCCUUUGGAGCGGCCGAUGUCAGAUUAGGUAGUUGGUGGGGUAAAGGCCUACCAAGCCGACGAUCUGUAGCUGGUCUGAGAGGACGACCAGCCACACUGGGACUGAGACACGGCCCAGACUCCUAGGGGAGGCAGCAGUGGGGAACUUUGGAAAAGGGGCGCAAGCCUGAUCCAGCAAUGCCGCGUGCGGGAAGAAGGCCUUCGGGUUGUAAACCGUUUUUGUACGGAACGAAAAGGCUCUGGCUAAUACCUGGGGCUGAUGACGGUACCGUAAGAAUAAGCACCGGCUAACUACGU